rnacentral:rRNA from 1 species
GACGAACGCUGGCGGCGUGCCUAAUACAUGCAAGUCGAACGCACUCUCGUUUAGAUUGAAGGAGCUUGCUCCUGAUUGAUAAACAUUUGAGUGAGUGGCGGACGGGUGAGUAACACGUGGGUAACCUGCCCUAAAGUGGGGGAUAACAUUUGGAAACAGAUGCUAAUACCGCAUAAAACCUAACACCGCAUGGUGUAGGUUGAAAGAUGGUUUCGGCUAUCACUUUAGGAUGGACCCGUGGUGCAUUAGUUAGUUGGUGAGGUAAAGGCUCACCAAGACCGUGAUGCAUAGCCGACCUGAGAGGGUAAUCGGCCACACUGGGACUGAGACACGGCCCAGACUCCUACGGGAGCAGCAGUAGGGAAUCUUCCACAAUGGACGAAAGUCUGAUGGAGCAACGCCGCGUGAGUGAAGAAGGUUUUCGGAUCGUAAAACUCUGUUGUUGGAGAAGAAUGUAUCUGAUAGUAACUGAUCAGGUAGUGACGGUAU